rnacentral:rRNA from 1 species
UACCAGCACCCCCGAGUGGUCGGGACGUUUAUUGGGCCUAAAGCAUCCGUAGCCGGUUCUACAAGUCUUCCGUUAAAUCCACCUGCUUAACAGAUGGGCUGCGGAAGAUACUAUGGAGCUAGGAGGCGGGAGAGGCAAGCGGUACUCGAUGGGUAGGGGUAAAAUCCGUUGAUCCAUUGAAGACCACCAGUGGCGAAGGCGGCUUGCCAGAACGCGCUCGACGGUGAGGGAUGAAAGCUGGGGGAGCAAACCGG